UACGUAGGGGGCUAGCGUUGUCCGGAUUUAUUGGGCGUAAAGAGCGUGUAGGCGGCUUUGCAAGUCCGUUGUGAAAACUCGAGGCUCAACCUCGAGACGCCGGUGGAAACUGCAAAGCUAGAGUCCGGAAGAGGAGAGUGGAAUUCCUGGUGUAGCGGUGAAAUGCGCAGAUAUCAGGAAGAACACCCGUGGCGAAGGCGGCUCUCUGGGACGGUACUGACGCUGAGACGCGAAAGCCAGGGGAGCAAACGGG
rnacentral:rRNA from 1 species